rnacentral:rRNA from 1 species
AUGUGGAAAACCAACUGGCCAUGGCAGAUCAGAGCUUAUGAUGAUACUCAGUUCCUGGUCAGAUUUCCUCCCAAUAAAAAGAUUGCUGACUUAGUUGCUUUUAAAUCCAUCAAUCUGAAGAAAUCUGGUGUUAAUAUUUCCUUCAAAGACUGGCAUGGUGAACUACCUCCCUAUGACUCUCUUAAAGAAGUCUGGAUUAAUGUCAUUGGUAUUCCUCCUGUCUGGUGCUCUUGGCCAGUUAUUGCUCAAAUUGCUUCUUCUCUAGGUGUCAUUGUCAAUGUUGAUUGGCAUGAAAUCUUCAGGAGUUUUUAUGAGAUUGUUAUAAUUCAGGUUGCAGUUAGAGAUCCUCAGCUGAUUCCUAGAGACAGACUGGUCGAAAUCCAACAAGAGCUAUAUCUACUCAACUUUGAGGUUGACGAUGAUGUAGCCACUGAUUCUCCCUCUCACAAUCACCCUGGGGGCCCCCUGGUCCUCCUAGUGGGAAUAGUGGGGAUAAAAAUGCUGACAGGAACAGUGAGGUGGACAAGGAUAGUGAUGAUGAUCUUCUUGGAGAACAAAUGGAGCAGGACAAUGGUAACCAGCUUGCCAGGAAACCUACCCCUACCUCCAAUGGAUCUAAGACCAGAGUUGGUUGUCUCCAUCCUCAUACUCCUGUUGUGA